ensembl:lncRNA
GGCAUAACGAGAGAGAGGCAGGUUUUCUGUGGAGAGGCAUAAUGAGAGAGAGGCAGGUUUUCUGUGGAGAGGCAUAAUGAGAGAGAGGCAGGUUUUCUGUGGAGAGGCAUAACGAGAGAGAGAGGCAGGUUCAUAGAGGUUUUGAUAUGUUUCUGUAUUUGUUUACUAAUGAUUUACUUUCACCUCUUUAUUUUGUUUUUCAUUCCAUGAUCUUCAAAGGACGUUAUGCAAUAGUUAAGCUUAGAUGCUGAAGUAACUGCCAAAGUUUGAGUCUUGGCUCCAACAGGAAGUGAUGUUGUUGUUUGGUCUGAUUGCGUAUUGUCCAGGAGCCUUGGGAGGUAGGCUGUAUCAUAUAAUUUGGACCUAUGCUGUGUAACUUUAGCCUGUGUUACACAAAAAAAUAAAAGAGUAUAUUUUUCACCCCUUUUUUCUCCCCUAUUUCGUGGUAUCCAACUGGUUGUAGUUACA